UGCCGGUGUGAGUAGCGGAACGUGGGUGAGAAUCCCACGCACCGAAAACCCAAGGAUUCCAGAGGAAGGUUCGUCCGCUCUGGGUAAGUCGGGACCUAAGGCGAGGCCGAAAGGCGUAGUCGAUGGACAACAGGUAGAGAUUCCUGUACUUGUAUAUAUGUGAAGGAAUGACGGAGAGAGAAAGCUGAAGCCAGCGGCUGGAAGAGCUGGUGCAAGCGAGAUAGCGGGAUGGCAGGCAAAUCCGCCAUCCACAACGCGAAGACGUGAUGCGAACGGAAAGCUACGGCGAGUACGGAAGUCAGUGGACGAGCUUCCAAGAAAAGUUUCUAACAUAAGUAUAUGCAACCCGUACCGAAAAUGGACACACAUGGGUGAGGAGAGAAUCCUAAGGUGAGCGAGAGAACUAUAGCUAAGGAACUCUGCAAAAUGACUCCGUAACUUAGGGAGAAGGAGUGCUCAUAGAGAUAUGAGCCGCAGUGAAACGGCCCAAGCGACUGUUUACCAAAAACACAGCUCUCUGCUAAGCCGCAAGGCGAAGUAUAGGGGGUGACGCCUGCCCGGUGCUGGAAGGUUAAGGGGAGGGGUUAACGCAAGUGAAGCCCUGAACUGAAGCCCCAGUAAACGGCGGCCGUAACUAUAACGGUCCUAAGGUAGCGAAAUUCCUUGUCAGGUAAGUUCUGACCCGCACGAAAGGCGUAACGAUUUGGGCGCUGUCUCGGCUGUAGACUCGGUGAAGUCUUAGUACCUGUGAAGAUGCAGGUUACCCGCGACUAGACGGAAAGACCCCAUGGAGCUUCACUGCAGGUUGAUAUUGGGAUUUGAUGCAGCAUGUACAGGAUAGGUAGGAGGCUAGGAGAUGGAUACGCCAGUAUUCAAGGAGCCGCUGUUGGGAUACUACCCCUGUUGUAUUGGAUUUCUAACCGGACGACGUAAGCCGUUGACGGGACAGUGUCAGUCGGGCAGUUUGACUGGGGCGGUCGCCUCCCAAAGAGUAACGGAGGCGCCCAAAGAUACCCUCAGCUUGGAUGGAAAUCAAGCGCAGAGUGCAAAGGCAAAAGGGUGUUUGACUGCGAGACCAACAAGUCGAGCAGGGACGAAAGUCGGGCUUAGUGAUCCGGCGGUGCUGAAUGGAAAGGCCGUCGCUCAACGGAUAAAAGCUACCCUGGGGAUAACAGGCUGAUCUCCCCCAAGAGU
rnacentral:rRNA from 1 species